CCCAGGAGCACAUACUCCAGCAGCAAUAAGCACAUACUCCAGCAGCACAUACUCCAGCAGCAAUAAGAGGCCGCGGCCUUUGUUCUCCUGGAGUCUGCACCCCUCACAGGAGCCCGGGAAUGCUCGGACUUGCUCAGCCCGGCCCCGUGUGCAGAGAGCUUCCCAGCUCACAGCCUGGAGCCAGCUGUCCCCGAGAAGGAAGUAGGGCUGCUCAGCUGAGUCCAGUCUAGAUCAGCCAAACUGGUUCACAGCUACAGGAGGAAGAGAACCAAUGCUUGUUCUUGUAAACUGCUGAGUUUGGGGGUGUUUAGUUACAUAGCGUUAUCGUGGGAGCAGCUGACAAGUGGGAGCAGCUGAGCAACCAGGGAAUAAUCACCUUUUUCCUGCCAUUGAGAUUCUGUAGUGUCAUAAAGAUAUUCAUCAGGUGUAAUCUUGAGCUGAGAAAGUUGUAGGGCACGUGUAGAAGGCAGUGUGGUGGUAUUAGCACCAGGUGAAUAGCCUCGGAAAGGCACUGAAUGUUCACGGGCACGUGUGAGAACUUUGUCUCAUGGGUUCGUAGGGAAGCAAGUUAAAGGUGACACCGAAUUCUUCCCCAGCGGUGUUCCUCUGCCCUAAGACCGACUCGAGCUUAGCCGUGUGAACUCCCCCUGUCAGUGGUCCCUGGGGGAACCUCUGGGAAAGACUAUCCACCUGGGAAAAAGAGAUGGACAAGAAGAACUGCCUUCUUCAUUUGCAGUCUUCCCCCACCACAAGGGAACAACUUCGACAGCUAAGCAAAGCAUUGAAAAAUGAAGAAGGUGAUGAAUCCGUGGUUGGGAGAAAUAAGGCAAGAGAUGGCAUUGGGUUGAGCCAAGGAGAUCCGGAAUUGGGCUGCCUUGAGUGGAGAAGGUUUGAAAAUUUCCAAAAUACCACAUUCAUGGUCUUACCCAGCGUGAGAUAGCUGAGGCCAGGCGGUUCCAGUGACUUACCCAGACGCAGUGUCAGCGGCCCGUCGAGGCUGCUCGGGGGGCCCUGAUGGGUGUCGGGCUCCGUGCCGGGACCCCCUGGGGGAGAGUAGCAAUGAAUCGGGUCGUGUCUGCUGAGCGGCCCCUCCUGUGACGGCGGCCUCGCCGGUGCCCACAUCAGAGGGCUCGG
rnacentral:lncRNA from 12 species